rnacentral:tRNA from 1 species
CAGGGUGUAGCUCAGUGUUAGAGUGCACUCCUAUCAAGUGUGAAGUCUUUAGUUCAAAUGAUGGCAAUUAAA